rnacentral:tRNA from 1 species
AGCAAUAUAGUGUAAUGUUAACACAUAAGAGUCAUGGUCUUAUAAUGUAUGUUCGAAUCAUGCUAUUGCAA